AGCAUGGUCUUAGCUUGCUAAGGCCGAUGGCGACCGGCGCACGGGUGAGUAACACGUAUCCAACCUGCCGUCUACUCUAGGACAGCCUUCUGAAAGGAAGAUUAAUACAAGAUGGCAUCAUGAGUCCGCAUGUUCACAUGAUUAAAGGUAUUCCGGUAGACGAUGGGGAUGCGUUCCAUUAGAUAGUAGGCGGGGUAACGGCCCACCUAGUCUUCGAUGGAUAGGGGUUCUGAGAGGAAGGUCCCCCACAUUGGAACUGAGACACGGUCCAAACUCCUACGGGAGGCAGCAGUGAGGAAUAUUGGUCAAUGGGCGAGAGCCUGAACCAGCCAAGUAGCGUGAAGGAUGACUGCCCUAUGGGUUGUAAACUUCUUUUAUAAAGGAAUAAAGUCGGGUAUGCAUACCCGUUUGCAUGUACUUUAUGAAUAAGGAUCGGCUAACUCCGUGCCAGCAGCCGCGGUAAUACGGAGGAUCCGAGCGUUAUCCGGAUUUAUUGGGUUUAAAGGGAGCGUAGAUGGAUGUUUAAGUCAGUUGUGAAAGUUUGCGGCUCAACCGUAAAAUUGCAGUUGAUACUGGAUAUCUUGAGUGCAGUUGAGGCAGGCGGAAUUCGUGGUGUAGCGGUGAAAUGCUUAGAUAUC
rnacentral:rRNA from 1 species